rnacentral:rRNA from 1 species
GCCGGUGAUUAUUGAAACGGUGGCACACCUCUUCCCAUUCCGAACAGAGAAGUUAAGCCCGUUUUCGCUGAUGGUACUGCAGGUUCGCUUGUGGGAGAGUAAGUAGUCGCCGGCU